rnacentral:rRNA from 1 species
UACAGGAGGGUGCAAGCGUUGUUCGGAAUUAUUGGGCGUAAAGCGCGUGUAGGCGGCGUGACAAGUCGGGUGUGAAAGCCCUCAGCUCAACUGAGGAAGUGCGCCCGAAACUGUCGUGCUUGAGUGCCGGAGAGGGUGGCGGAAUUCCCCAAGUAGAGGUGAAAUUCGUAGAUAUGGGGAGGAACACCGGUGGCGAAGGCGGCCACCUGGACGGUAACUGACGCUGAGACACGAAAGCGUGGGUAGCAAACAGG